GCAGGAAGGGAAAGCUAGGGAACGGGUUGUUUUAGGAAACGGGUUUUGUUGAUGAACCACUUGUCACAGCGCCAUAGACUCACAUAGUCACAGUCUGGAACAUGAUGAUGACUCCUCUACUCUUCUUCGCCUUCCUCCUCCUCUCUCGUCUGCCAGGCUCUCUCUGUAGGGUGACCACCGUGGGUGAUCUAAGGGUUCUGGAAGGUCGAUCGGUGAUGAUCCCAUGCCAUUAUGGGCCGCAAUACGCCAGUUAUGUGAAGUACUGGUGCCAUGGCAGUGUAAAGGACCUCUGUACCAGUCUGGUUCGCAGCGAUGCCCCACGGGGACCAGCUGCAGCGGGAGAAGACAAGGUGGCCAUGUUUGAUGACCCGGUACAGCAGGUGUUCACAGUAACAAUGACAGAGCUGCAGAAGGAGGACUCUGGAUGGUACUGGUGUGGUGUGGAGGUGGGAGGAGUCUGGAGUGCUGAUGUCACAGCCUCCCUUCACAUCAAUGUUAUCCAAGGUAUGUCUGUGGUGGACAGCAUGGUGAGUGGAGAGGAAGGGACCAGCGUCACUGUCCAGUGUCUCUACAGCCAGGGAUACAGGCAGCAUGAGAAGCGCUGGUGUCGUAGUGGUGACUGGAGCUCCUGUCUGGUGACAGAUGGUGAAGGGCGGUAUGAAGACCAGGCAGUAGAGAUCAGAGAUGACCUGACCAAGGCUUUCACUGUCACCCUGAAGGGACUGGCCCGGAGAGAUACAGGCUGGUACUGGUGUGCUGCAGGACAGCAACAGGUGGCUGUCUACAUCCUGGUUACUCCUCCAUCCACAACAGCGCCUGCUCCUACAGUUACAUCCCCACCAGAAGAAAGCCCUCAGUCUGUUCCUGUGUCUCCGUCUGUGUCUCCUCUUCCCAGACACAUAGCUAAAGGAGCAGACCACCACAGGCCACUAUGGGAGUUUCCUCUGAUGGUGUGUGGAAUUUUGUUCAUCUUAAUGGUUCUGGUGCUGCUGCCAUGGAAGAUACUGGACCAAUACAACAAAACCCACAGGACAAGACAGGCAGAGCUGGAAGCCAGACUCAGUGUAAGUCCACGACAACUAUCAGCUGAUCCAGACUCAGUGUAAGUCCACUACAACUAUCAGCUGAUCCAGACUCAGUGUAAGUCCACUACAACUAUCAGCUGAUCCAGACUCAGUGUAAGUCCACUACAACUAUCAGCUGAUCCAGACUCAGUGUAAGUCCACUACAACUAUCAGCUGAUCCAGACUCAGUGUAAGUCCACUACAACUAUCAGCUGAUCCAGACUCAGUGUAAGUCCACUACAACUAUCAGCUGAUCCAGACUCAGUGUAAGUCCACGACAACUAUCAGCUGAUCCAGACUCAGUGACCCCCCAGGUGACGACUGGCAGAACACCUCUGUCGUCUUCCUCAACUCCGCCUCACAGAAGGUGUACGGUUUCUGACCCCGCCCACCCUCCAGUCACCUCUGACCUCUAACUUCCACCUUCAAUCUCUGGGCACCUUUCUUCAGAGCUGGACGCCAUGUUGCUGCCUCUAAAUAUUCCAUCUAUCCAACAAUAUGUUCAGUACCAUGCUGUAUGAUCCUGACCUUUGGUACAGACCUGCUAAGUACCACAAAUGGUAAUAAUGUUAGUUAUUGUGAUCAUUACCUGACAUGUUAAAUAAUGUUACGAUGUUUACUGAAAUCAGUGUGUAUAUAAUCUACUGCAACUAUUUGUUUUGUAUUACAUAUUUACAUUUUCUAUAAAAAUAUUUUAAGAAAGAAUUACAGGAAAGGAACUAGUUAUUAUGGUUCUCAGUAUACUGGUUGGACAGGUUGGUACAGAAAUGAACUAGAUAUUAUGGUUCUCAGUAUACUGGUUGGACAGGUUGGUACAGAAAGGAACUAGUUAUUAUGGUUCUCAGUAUACUGGUUGGACAGGUUGGUACAGAAAGGAACUAGUUAUUAUGGUUCUCAGUAUAUUGGUUGGACAGGUUGGUACAGAAAUGAACUAGUUAUUAUGGUUCUCAGUAUACUGGUUGGACAGGUUGGUACAGAAAUGAACUAGAUAUUAUGGUUCUCAGUAUACUGGUUGGACAGGUUGGUAUAGAAAGGAACUAGUUCUUAUGGUUCUCAGUAUACUGGUUGGACAGGUUGGUACAGAAAGGAACUAGUUAUUAUGGUUCUCAGUAUACUGGUUGGACAGGUUGGUACAGAAAGGAACUAGUUAUUAUGGUUCUCAGUAUAUUGGUUGGACAGGUUGGUACAGAAAUGAACUAGUUAUUAUGGUUCUCAGUAUACUGGUUGGACAGGUUGGUACAGAAAUGAACUAGAUAUUAUGGUUCUCAGUAUACUGGUUGGACAGGUUGGUACAGAAAGGAACUAGUUAUUAUGGUUCUCAGUAUACUGGUUGGACAGGUUGGUACAGAAAGGAACUAGUUAUUAUGGUUCUCAGUAUACUGGUUGGACAGGUUGGUACAGAAAUGAACUAGUUAUUAUGGUUCUCAGUAUACUGGUUGGACAGGUUGGUACAGAAAGGAACUAGUUAUUAUGGUUCUCAGUAUACUGGUUGGACAGGUUGGUACAGAAAGGAACUAGUUAUUAUGGUUCUCAGUAUACUGGUUGGACAGGUUGGUACAGAAAGGAACUAGUUAUUAUGGUUCUCAGUAUACUGGUUGGACAGGUUGGUACAGAAAGGAACUAGUUAUUAUUGUUCUCAGUAUACUGGUUGGACAGGUUGGUACAGAAAGGAACUAGUUAUUAUGGUUCUCAGUAUACUGGUUGGACAGGUUGGUACAGAAAGGAACUAGUUAUUAUGGUUCUCAGUAUACUGGUUGGACAGGUUGGUAUAGAAAGGGAUUGUAAGACCCUACUUAUUUUCCCACGAAGGUUGAAUAGGCAGAGAGCUCUGUAAAUAUUGUACAACAUUUUGUUAUUCUUUUGUGUCUUUUUUUUGUUGCAUUUAAAUAUAAAAGUGGUUGGACUGCU